GAGUAUGCAUAGGCCUGCAAAUAGGUUUGGGCGCUCGUACGCACGCAUAUGUAUGUGCAAAUGAGAGAGGGUUGAACAUACCAAUUGGGAGAUUUUUUUUUUUUUUUUCAAACAGGUUUGGGCGCUCAUACACAUAUAUGAAUGGGCAAUGGGAGAGUAUUGAACAUACCAAUUGGGAGAUACAUAUAUAUAUAUUUCUUUAAGUUGACACUCACAAACUCUCCUUUGAAAAAAAUUUUGGACCUAAGAGGAGUCCAUCCCUAAACGCACUAUUUCAAGAGGAACUGGGGAUAAAUAGUCUUUUUUUUUUUCUUUUUUUCUCUCAACUUAUGUAAUACAAGUCGGUAAAUAGUAAUAUUUGAUGUCGAGUGCAUUUAUUUAAGAAGGAAAAAAUAAAAAAAAAAUGAGAGUGCGAAAAUAGUCUCCCAUAACAAAGCCGAUACUAAACAUUCCUUUUAAAGCAGAUAUUUGAGGAGAGAAAAAUGGAAAAAUAGGGACUUAAUCAGACUCUCUCUCUGUGUCUAAACCCACAAUGAUACACAACAACUGUCAACACCUACUCUCCUCCAACGCAACAUCCCCAUCCCCAACUGUCUCCUUGUUCAUUUUCCUUUUGUCCACAUUGCUCUCCCUCCACUCCACAUUGUCUCAGCCCUCCUCCGAACCAGAACCAGAACCAAACAAUGGCUUUGCCCAAGUCCCACCCACCACAACCGCACCAGAGGACGAACCCAUCGAACUACCUCCUUCCACUCCAUCCAUUUUCGCAACCACAGACGACCCUUCACCUCUCCAAGUCGCCACCAGUGUCUGUCUUCCUCUUCCGCUCUCUCCAUCUCGUGCAAAAGCGAGCCCAAGAAUGGUCUUGAAGAGUAAAAACAUGGUUGAAGGAGAAAGCAAUCGAUAGCUCCAAUGCAAUGACCCGGCACCGGUUGGACGCCAAGACUCCACCUUUGCCUGUUCAGACACUUUCAGAUGAUUUCUCGGUUCGCCGAAUAACAGACUAUUGCUAACAGAUUGUGCUAUCAAUAUUUGUUCUUGGCAUCAAGUCUGUAGGUUUAUCCCCUUACUCGGGCGAGCUUUCUAUCAACUUCUUCAUGGGAGAUCCUACUAGUAAAGAUACUCAGAAGUCAAAAUAAAGAUGAAGUGCAGUUAAGUUCAACAAAUUUUACAGCCAAGACCCACAGAUAGCUCUGAAACGGACAUCAGUGAUGAGGAACAAAGUUCAGAUAAUACGCAGUAAUGGAAGACAUUGAAGGAACAGGGUCGAAUUGGUGUCUAGGUUAUGCAACACUGCUACCAGAAUCACUGAAGAAACAAACAUCGGGAUUGGACCAAAAAUCCACAAUAGCAAGGUGGUGGCA